GUUUGUAUAGUUUAAUCAAAUCGCAAGGCUGUUAACUUUGAGAUGCUUAGUUUGGGGCUGCAAACG
rnacentral:tRNA from 1 species